rnacentral:rRNA from 1 species
AGUGAACGCUGGCGGUAGGCCUAACACAUGCAAGUCGAACGGCAGCACAGUAAGAGCUUGCUCUUACGGGUGGCGAGUGGCGGACGGGUGAGGAAUACAUCGGAAUCUACUUUUUCGUGGGGGAUAACGUAGGGAAACUUACGCUAAUACCGCAUACGACCUACGGGUGAAGGCAGGGGAUCUUCGGACCUUGCGCGAUUGAAUGAGCCGAUGUCGGAUUAGCUAGUUAGCGGGGUAAAGGCCCACCAAGGCGACGAUCCGUAGCUGGUCUGAGAGGAUGAUCAGCCACACUGGAACUGAGACACGGUCCAGACUCCUACGGGAGGCAGCAGUGGGGAAUAUUGGACAAUGGGCGCAAGCCUGAUCCAGCCAUACCGCGUGGGUGAAGAAGGCCUUCGGGUUGUAAAGCCCUUUUGUUGGGAAAGAAAAGCAGCAGGUUAAUACCCCGCUGUUCUGACGGUACCCAAAGAAUAAGCACCGGCUAACUUCGUG